rnacentral:rRNA from 1 species
AGAGUUUGAUCCUGGCUCAGGAUGAACGCCGGCGGUGUGCCUAAUACAUGCAAGUCGUACGCACUGGCCCAACUGAUUGAUGGUGCUUGCACCUGAUUGACGAUGGAUCACCAGUGAGUGGCGGACGGGUGAGUAACACGUAGGUAACCUGCCCCGGAGCGGGGGAUAACAUUUGGAAACAGAUGCUAAUACCGCAUAACAACAAAAGCCACAUGGCUUUUGUUUGAAAGAUGGCCUUGGCUAUCACUCUGGGAUGGACCUGCGGUGCAUUAGCUAGUUGGUAAGGUAACGGCUUACCAAGGCGAUGAUGCAUAGCCGAGUUGAGAGACUGAUCGGCCACAAUGGAACUGAGACACGGUCCAUACUCCUACGGGAGGCAGCAGUAGGGAAUCUUCCACAAUGGGCGCAAGCCUGAUGGAGCAACACCGCGUGAGUGAAGAAGGGUUUCGGCUCGUAAAGCUCUGUUGUUGGAGAAGAACGUGCGUGAGAGUAACUGUUCACGCAGUGACGGUAUCCAACCAGAAAGUCACGGCUAACUACGUGCCAGCAGCCGCGGUAAUACGUAGGUGGCAAGCGUUAUCCGGAUUUAUUGGGCGUAAAGCGAGCGCAGGCGGUUGCUUAGGUCUGAUGUGAAAGCCUUCGGCUUAACCGAAGAAGUGCAUCGGAAACCGGGCGACUUGAGUGCAGAAGAGGACAGUGGAACUCCAUGUGUAGCGGUGGAAUGCGUAGAUAUAUGGAAGAACACCAGUGGCGAAGGCGGCUGUCUGGUCUGCAACUGACGCUGAGGCUCGAAAGCAUGGGUAGCGAACAGGAUUAGAUACCCUGGUAGUCCAUACCGUAAACGAUGAGUGCUAGGUGUUGGAGGGUUUCCGCCCUUCAGUGCCGGAGCUAACGCAUUAAGCACUCCGCCUGGGGAGUACGACCGCAAGGUUGAAACUCAAAGGAAUUGACGGGGGCCCGCACAAGCGGUGGAGCAUGUGGUUUAAUUCGAAGCUACGCGAAGAACCUUACCAGGUCUUGACAUCUUGCGCUAACCUUAGAGAUAAGGCGUUCCCUUCGGGGACGCAAUGACAGGUGGUGCAUGGUCGUCGUCAGCUCGUGUCGUGAGAUGUUGGGUUAAGUCCCGCAACGAGCGCAACCCUUGUUACUAGUUGCCAGCAUUAAGUUGGGCACUCUAGUGAGACUGCCGGUGACAAACCGGAGGAAGGUGGGGACGACGUCAGAUCAUCAUGCCCCUUAUGACCUGGGCUACACACGUGCUACAAUGGACGGUACAACGAGUCGCAAGCUCGCGAGAGUAAGCUAAUCUCUUAAAGCCGUUCUCAGUUCGGACUGUAGGCUGCAACUCGCCUACACGAAGUCGGAAUCGCUAGUAAUCGCGGAUCAGCAUGCCGCGGUGAAUACGUUCCCGGGCCUUGCACACACCGCCCGUCAC